UACGGAGGGUGCAAGCGUUAUCCGGAUUCACUGGGUUUAAAGGGUGCGUAGGCGGGCAUUUAAGUCAGUGGUGAAAUACCUGAGCUUAACUUGGGAACUGCCAUUGAUACUAUUUGUCUUGAAUGUCGUGGAGGUUAGCGGAAUAUGUCAUGUAGCGGUGAAAUGCUUAGAUAUGACAUAGAACACCUAUUGCGAAGGCAGCUAACUAAGCGAAUAUUGACGCUGAGGCACGAAAGCGUGGGGAUCAAACAGG
rnacentral:rRNA from 1 species